AUGCAAUUGUGGUUUCAAUUGCAAUUCAACCCGGACUAUGCAACUUGGCCUGGAGUCGCUACCUCGAUGAGAAAAAAAAUGGUUUCAAAAAGUUUCUUAUUUCUCAUGAGUCUGAUCUUGGGUUCAAAGAGAUUUCAAUUGUGUUUCUUUGGGCUAAAUAUUUUGCCGAAGUGUUUUAAAAGGUUUGCAGACACAAAUGGAUUCAUAAAAUUCAAUGGGCUUAAGCAAACCUUAUUGAAUCGAUCGACGAUUGAUGUCACCAAGACUAAACAUGUGCAAGGCAACGUAAAUCUUUCUGGAAUUAUGAAACCACAAUGA
rnacentral:rRNA from 1 species